rnacentral:rRNA from 1 species
GACGAACGCUGGCGGCGUGCUUAACACAUGCAAGUCGAACGGAAAGGCCCUGCUUUUGUGGGGUGCUCGAGUGGCGAACGGGUGAGUAACACGUGAGUAACCUGCCCUUGACUUUGGGAUAACCUCAGGAAACUGGGGCUAAUACCGGAUAGGAGCUCCUGCUGCAUGGUGGGGGUUGGAAAGUUUCGGCGGUUGGGGAUGGACUCGCGGCUUAUCAGCUUGUUGGUGGGGUAGUGGCUUACCAAGGCUUUGACGGGUAGCCGGCCUGAGAGGGUGACCGGCCACAUUGGGACUGAGAUACGGCCCAGACUCCUACGGGAGGCAGCAGUGGGGAAUAUUGCACAAUGGGCGGAAGCCUGAUGCAGCAACGCCGCGUGCGGGAUGACGGCCUUCGAGUUGUAAACCGCUUUCGCCUGUGACGAAGCGUGAGUGACGGUAAUGGGUAAAGAAGCACCGGCUAACUACGUGCCAGCAGCCGCGGUGAUACGUAGGGUGCGAGCGUUGUCCGGAUUUAUUGGGCGUAAAGGGCUCGUAGGUGGUUGAUCGCGUCGGAAGUGUAAUCUUGGGGCUUAACCCUGAGCGUGCUUUCGAUACGGGUUGACUUGAGGAAGGUAGGGGAGAAUGGAAUUCCUGGUGGAGCGGUGGAAUGCGCAGAUAUCAGGAGGAACACCAGUGGCGAAGGCGGUUCUCUGGGCCUUUCCUGACGCUGAGGAGCGAAAGCGUGGGGAGCGAACAGGCUUAGAUACCCUGGUAGUCCACGCUGUAAACGGUGGGUACUAGGUGUGGGGUCCAUUCCACGGGUUCCGUGCCGUAGCUAACGCUUUAAGUACCCCGCCUGGGGAGUACGGCCGCAAGGCUAAAACUCAAAGGAAUUGACGGGGCCCCGCACAAGCGGCGGAGCAUGCGGAUUAAUUCGAUGCAACGCGUAGAACCUUACCUGGGUUUGACAUGGAUCGGGAGUGCUCAGAGAUGGGUGUGCCUCUUUUGGGGUCGGUUCACAGGUGGUGCAUGGCUGUCGUCAGCUCGUGUCGUGAGAUGUUGGGUUAAGUCCCGCAACGAGCGCAGCCCUUGUUCACUGUUGCCAGCACGUUAUGGUGGGGACUCAGUGGAGACCGCCGGGGUCAACUCGGAGGAAGGUGGGGAUGACGUCAAGUCAUCAUGCCCCUUAUGUCCAGGGCUUCACGCAUGCUACAAUGGCUGGUACAGAGAGUGGCGAGCCUGUGAGGGUGAGCGAAUCUCGGAAAGCCGGUCUCAGUUCGGAUUGGGGUCUGCAACUCGACCUCAUGAAGUCGGAGUCGCUAGUAAUCGCAGAUCAGCAACGCUGCGGUGAAUACGUUCCCGGG